rnacentral:rRNA from 1 species
AUAAUGGGUCAGCGACUUAUAUUCUGUAGCAAGGUUAACCGAAUAGGGGAGCCGAAGGGAAACCGAGUCUUAACUGGGCGUUAAGUUGCAGGGUAUAGACCCGAAACCCGGUGAUCUAGCCAUGGGCAGGUUGAAGGUUGGGUAACACUAACUGGAGGACCGAACCGACUAAUGUUGAAAAAUUAGCGGAUGACUUGUGGCUGGGGGUGAAAGGCCAAUCAAACCGGGAGAUAGCUGGUUCUCCCCGAAAGCUAUUUAGGUAGCGCCUCGUGAAUUCAUCUCCGGGGGUAGAGCACUGUUUCGGCAAGGGGGUCAUCCCGACUUACCAACCCGAUGCAAACUGCGAAUACCGGAGAAUGUUAUCACGGGAGACACACGGCGGGUGCUAACGUCCGUCGUGAAGAGGGAAACAACCCAGACCGCCAGCUAAGGUCCCAAAGUCAUGGUUAAGUGGGAAACGAUGUGGGAAGGCCCAGACAGCCAGGAUGUUGGCUUAGAAGCAGCCAUCAUUUAAAGAAAGCGUAAUAGCUCACUGGUCGAGUCGGCCUGCGCGGAAGAUGUAACGGGGCUAAACCAUGCACCGAAGCUGCGGCAGCGACACUAUGUGUUGUUGGGUAGGGGAGCGUUCUGUAAGCCUGUGAAGGUGUACUGUGAGGUAUGCUGGAGGUAUCAGAAGUGCGAAUGCUGACAUAAGUAACGAUAAAGCGGGUGAAAAGCCCGCUCGCCGGAAGACCAAGGG